UACGGAGGGUGCAAGCAUUAAUCGGAUUUAUUGGGCGUAAAGGGCGCGUAGGCGGACUAUCAAGUCAGAUGUGAAAUACCAAAGCUCAACUUUGGUGCUGCAUUUGAAACUGAUAGACUUGAGGGUUGUCGGAGAAAAUGGAAUUCCACGUGUAGCGGUGAAAUGCGUAGAUAUGUGGAAGAACACCUGUGGCGAAAGCGAUUUUCUAGAUAAUACCUGACGCUGAGGCGCGAGAGCAAGGGGAGCAAACAGG
rnacentral:rRNA from 1 species